rnacentral:rRNA from 1 species
CGGUAGGUGAACCUGCGGAAGGAUCAUUCACAUU